rnacentral:rRNA from 1 species
UUAGGAUAGAUCCCUUAUAUUAACAAAGAAGACUAUAAAUUCGCUCUAAGAAGUGGGUAUCUCGUGUAGUAGUAGUUAAAGUAAAUGUUUAACUAGCUUUAUUUAGUUUGAAUACACGUAGUCGUAACUGAAAGGUUGAUCGACCACAAUGUGGCCUGAAGAAAGCCCAUGACAAAUGUUACAGCAGUGAGGAAUAUUGGUCAAUAGCCUAACGGCUGAACCAGCAACUUGGAGGAAUGUAAGGCAAUAGCCUAAUGCAUUAUUUUAAUGUUUAAUCGACCAUGUCGAAUAAAAUUCUAGGUAGAGUUUUGACAAUGACAUUCUCUAUCUAUGUGUCUUGACCAAAUUACGUGCCAGCAGUCGCGGUAAUACGUAAAAGACUAGUGUUAUUCAUCUUUAAUAGGUUUAAAGAGUACCAAGACGGUUAAUAAAGCCCCUAAAGGGUACAAAUUAACUAGAGUUAUAUGAAAGGGAGCUCUUAGGUACUGUUGAGUGUAGAGAUGAAAUUCUGUGAUACCAGAUGAUUGGCACGGGUCUAUGCGAAGGCAUCUCCUUAUGUAAUAACUGACGUUGUAGGACGAAGGCUUUUGAAGUGAACAGGAUUCGAUACCCCAGUAAUCUAGGCAGAAAAUGAUGAGUGUCAUAGGUUAAAUAUAAUUUAGUCUAUAAAUGAAAGUGUAAGCAUUCCACCUCAAGAGUAAUUUGGCAACAUUGGAACUGAAAUCAUUAGACCGUUUCUGAAACCAGUAGUGAAGUAUGUUGUUUAAUUUGAUGAUCCGCAAAGAACCUUACCACUUUUAAUAAUGUUAAAAUUAUUUUCUUGAAUAAAUAUUUUUUUAAUAUUUACAAGUGUUGCACGGCUGUCUUCAGUUAAUGUCGUGAGAUUUUGGUUAGUUCCAUUAAAUUAACGAAAACCCUUACUUUAUUUUUAUAUAAAGUUGUUCACCGUUAUAUUGGAUAUGAUAAUAGGGACCA